rnacentral:rRNA from 1 species
CACAGAGGUCUCAAGCGUUGUUCGGAUUCAUUGGGCGUAAAGGGUGCGUAGGCGGCGCGGUAAGUCGGGUGUGAAAUCUCGGAGCUUAACUCCGAAACUGCAUUCGAUACUGCCGUGCUUGAGGACUGGAGAGGAGACUGGAAUUUACGGUGUAGCGGUGAAAUGCGCAGAUAUCGGGAGGAACACCAAUGGCGAAGGCAGCUCGCUGGGACGGUACUGACGCUGACGGCACGAAGGCCAGGGGAGCAAACGGG